rnacentral:tRNA from 2 species
GGGUCGGUGGGUGAGCGGCUAAUACCACCAGACUGUAAAUCUGGCGCCUUAGAUGGCUACGCAGGUUCGAAUCCUGCCCGGCCCA